UGGAUUUCUUUGAUAUUUUUUUAAAAACACUUUAGGAGAUAUUUAAAAUAUAUAUUAAUUAAAUAGGAUAAUUGUUUAUGUAUUUUUAAAAUAUUUUCGACUUUCUUGUUUACCUCUCUUAGAAGGCUAAUAUUGAAAAGGAUUAAUUACAUACAACUCUCUGUAAAUAUAGCGAGUUGAAAAUAUAUUCCUAUAAAGUUUAACUUUCUUAUUUUAUUCCUGCAAAAAUUCUAAUGUUUUCAAAUAUGCCCUACCAUCAGGAUUCAUUAGAAAAAUUUAGUUAGUCAUUGGUAAAAUAUUUAAUCUAGAUUAAUCAAUGAGAUAAAUUGAUAUUUUUAUCCCUUUUAUAUUCUACCUUCAUCUCUCAAUCAAAAUCCUAGAAAUGAGAACUCUUCUUCUUCUUCUUCUUUUUUCUCUUUCUCUUCCUCUCUCUCCUUCAUAUAUGUUAGUCUCCAACCAGUAAUUAGAACAUCUUCGUCCCUAUUCAUCCACUACGUGUGUUGCUUCGGCGCCCAUGCCGAAUGCCUGUUGCUUCUCCAUUCAAUUUUUUCUAUAAUUUUUUCUUAUUUUGCUCAAAAAAACAGUUUAGGAGAAAGGGAGAGAGAAAAAGUUACAACAAUAGUGGAUUAAGUUAGUUUUUUAAAAAGAAGAAGAUAAUUAAGGAAGACGACUAUCGGAAAUUUUUAGGGGGACAUUUCUGUACGAUUAUAGCAGUUGAGGCCUCUGGAGAGAUAUAUAUUGGUGAUGACAAAAUUGACAUUUCACUUAUCUACUGUUAAAAACUAAACAAUUCUCUAACGGUAACAAACUAGAGGAACAAAUAUGAAUAUUACUGGACUUUUGUGAAGAUAACAUAAGAAAGUUGAGCUUUGUAGGGAUAUAUUUAUAAUUCGUCAAACAUGACAGAGAAUUGUAUUCAAUUAACCUUAUUAAAAAUAUUCUUUUAAUGUUCUAAGUUAUUUCAAAUGUAUUUCUAGAGUUAAAUUUUGUUUAUUAACUGUUAGGAACAACUGUUAUCUCUAUAAAAUUACUAUUUCCCCUUUCAAAUAUACCAACUUUUUAUAUUUGCCCUUAAGUCAGGAAAAAAUAAAGUAUUAUGACUUUUUGCCUUUUCAAAUAUGCUCUUUUACUGUCGCCAACUUUUCUUAUUUGCCCUUAAGUUAGGGACAAAAGAGGUAUUUUGACUUUUUUUUUUUAAAUUCUAAUAGAAAUUUAAUAUGGAUUUAACCUGACAUGAUUUAACAAAUACUAAUAGCUGGAUUAUUUUUGAAUAACGGAGAAAUAUAUGAGGGGUAUAUUUGAAAAAGGGUAUAUAAAAUAUUUCAAAAGUUUGGAAUAUAUUAGAUAUUAU
rnacentral:lncRNA from 1 species